GUCUAUGGCCAUACCACUCUGAACGCACUACUGGUCUAGAAAGCUGAGCAGGGUCGGGCCCGGUUAGUACUUGGCUAGGAGACCUCCUAGGAAUACCAGGUGCUGUAGGCU
rnacentral:rRNA from 1 species